rnacentral:misc_RNA from 1 species
GCAGUGUCCCGGGCCGUUCGAGCCGAGCGCACGUGAGCCCGCGUGUGUACUGUGUCGCAGUGAGUGUUCUAUGUGUCCAGCGAGUAGCGAGCGCGGCGAAACGCCAGCGAUCCUCCGCGCUCGCUGAGAACGAGCGGCGUACGUUCGCUCCAGCGCGAUAAUCUGCCGAUAGUGAGGCGAUGUCGCCGAUUCUCUGAAGUUUGAGUUCAAAUACCUAAGUGGUGCGUGCACUAUGCGCACGAGCGUGUGGCGGCUGCACAUGAUCACCGCCGCGCUCU